rnacentral:rRNA from 1 species
UACGUAGGGGGCAAGCGUUGUCCGGAUUUAUUGGGCGUAAAGAGCGUGUAGGCGGCCUGAAAGGUCAGCUGUGAAAACUCGAGGCUCAACCUCGAGACGUCGGUGGAAACCGUAUGGCUAGAGUCCGGAAGAGGAGAGUGGAAUUCCUGGUGUAGCGGUGAAAUGCGCAGAUAUCAGGAAGAACACCCGUGGCGAAGGCGGCUCUCUGGGACGGUACUGACGCUGAGACGCGAAAGCGUGGGGAGCGAACAGG